rnacentral:rRNA from 1 species
GAUGAACGCUAGCGGCGUGCCUAAUACAUGCAAGUCGAGCGAAUGGAUUAAGAGCUUGCUCUUAUGAAGUUAGCGGCGGACGGGUGAGUAACACGUGGGUAACCUGCCCAUAAGACUGGGAUAACUCCGGGAAACCGGGGCUAAUACCGGAUAACAUUUUGAACCGCAUGGUUCGAAAUUGAAAGGCGGCUUCGGCUGUCACUUAUGGAUGGACCCGCGUCGCAUUAGCUAGUUGGUGAGGUAACGGCUCACCAAGGCAACGACGCGUAGCCGACCUGAGAGGGUGAUCGGCCACACUGGGACUGAAACCCGGCCCAGACUCCUACGGGAGGCAGCAGUAGGGAAUCUUCCGCAAUGGACGAAAGUCUGACGGAGCAACGCCGCGUGAGUGAUGAAGGCUUUCGGGUCGUAAAACUCUGUUGUUAGGGAAGAACAAGUGCUAGUUGAAUAAGCUGGCACCUUGACGGUACCUAACCAGAAAGCCACGGCUAACUACGUGCCAGCAGCCGCCGCGG